rnacentral:misc_RNA from 1 species
AAUCCCGCCGCCACCGGCGUCCUCGUCGUCGACGAGGACCCCGUCUGGCAGAAACCCGUCCAGCUCGAUGAAGAAGAAAGCGAUUCCUCAGGUGAAGAGAAACCGCUGAUUGAAGAAGACAUCGAGGUUAAACGCAUGAAGCGGCUCGAAGCACUCCGGUCGCGGAAGCCUUACCACGGCAUCUCGGAGGACGGCAGCGGAUGGGUUUCCAUCCCCAGCUCCGCCACACCGAGAUCAGAUUUAUCGCCUCCACGUCUUCGCCGGGAACGGCUUGACACGCCAUCCCCAG